rnacentral:rRNA from 1 species
UACGUAGGGUGCAAGCGAUGUCCGGAUUUACUGGGUUUAAAGGGUGCGCCGGCGGCCCGGUCAGUCAGUGAUGAAAUGCUCAGGCUUAACCUGCAGCGCUGUUACUGAUACUGCCAGGCUUGAGAGCGGACGAGGUGGCUGGAAUGAGUGGUGUAGCGGUGAAAUGCGUAGAGAUCACUCAGAACACCAAUUGCGAAGGCACGUCACUAGACCGAAUCUGACGCUGAGGCACGAAAGCGUGGGGAGCAAACAGG